CCGCACUCGACUCCGCCAGGCCCCCUGAACAGCACGGAAAUAAUGAAACGAUCCCGAGAUAUAGCGUAAGGGUUUACCAUUUAACAAGCACAAAUGAGAGAUUACUUACGUAUCCACUGCAUUCAAACCAGAUGCUCUCAUAGUCCGCAAUCGACUUCUCCAGGCCUCGGGCACCGCCCGGAAGUAAUGGAACGAUCCAGCGACAUAUCGGAAUGGUUCGCCAUUCAGCACAAAGCUGUUGGACUCAUGGUCGAUUGUGAAUUUGGGCGGAUCCUGACCAAAAUAUCAAAUGCAAAGUUGUAGUUGAGCAAUGGGUGAAACUCGAACCCAGUCCAGCCAGCUAUUGUCUGUGCGAUUUCUUACCUCGCGGACUCCCUCGCUCUCGCUGCCGCCAAGGCCCACACAAAGACCGACGGUGAGGGCGAUCACCAAAAUAAUCACACAGCCGCUCAUGGCCAUCGUCAGCUUUCGAGUGCAACGACAACUCAUGCUCUCACCGGUCUCCCAAAAAAAAAA